rnacentral:lncRNA from 1 species
AUGGCAGGUCAUGGAUGAAUCAUCAAACCUCAUCAUCGAUCAUAUGAUAGAUUUAAUCAGCUCAAGUCCAUAUAUGAUUCUAUGAAAACUCUUUCAUAUCAAUCACACUACUAUGGCCAUAGACUUAAGGACUCAGCCUCUUAAAUCUCAUAGGACUACUCCCUUCUAUCAGGGGUCGAUAGAUUCCAUCUUGAUGCACAUUCCACUUCUAUAGUGGACCAACUGUCGUCAACAUCUACUACAAGGGCUC